AGGGUUUGAUCAUGGCUCAGGACGAACGCUGGCGGCGUGCUUAACACAUGCAAGUCAAGGAGAACGGAUCCUUCGGGAUACUAUUAAACUGGCGAACGGGUGAGUAACGCGUAGGCAACCUGCCUUGGAGAUUGGGAUAACCCCGGGAAACCGGAGCUAAUACCAAAUAAUGCAGCGGAUCCUUCGGGAUAUGUUGUUAAAGUGGGCUUCGGCUCACACUUCAAGAUGGGCCUGCGUCCGAUUAGCUUGUUGGUGAGGUAAUGGCUCACCAAGGCGAUGAUCGGUAGCUGGUCUGAGAGGAUGAUCAGCCACACUGGGAUUGAGAUACGGCCCAGACUCCUACGGGAGGCAGCAGUGGGGAAUUUUGCGCAAUGGACGAAAGUCUGACGCAGCAACGCCGCGUGAUCGAUGAAGCUUCUAGGAGUGUAAAGAUCUGUCGUGAGGGAAGAAAAAUCUGGAUGUAAAUAAUGUUCAGACUUGACGGUACCUCACAAGAAAGCACCGGCUAACUUCGUGCCAGCAGCCGCGGUAAUACGAGGGGUGCUAGCGUUGUCCGGAAUUACUGGGCGUAAAGGGUUCGUAGGCGUCUUGCCAAGUUGAUCGUUAAAGCCACCGGCUUAACCGGUGAUCUGCGAUCAAAACUGGCGAGAUAGAAUAUGUGA
rnacentral:rRNA from 1 species